rnacentral:rRNA from 1 species
GACGAACGCUGGCGGCGUGCUUAACACAUGCAAGUCGAACGAUGAAGAAGAGAAACGCGAACUUCGGUUCAAAUUUCACUUCGGAUUAGUGGCAGACGGGUGAGUAACGCGUGAGCAACCUACCUCUUACAAAGGGAUAGCCUCGGGAAACCGUGAUUAAUACCAUAUGACACAUUCAUAAGGCAUCUUAAGAAUGUUAAAGCUACGGCGGUAAGAGAUGGGCUCGCGUCCCAUUAGCUAGUUGGUGAGGUAACGGCCCACCAAGGCGACGAUGGGUAACCGGCCUGAGAGGGUGAACGGUCACAUUGGAAAUGAGACACGGUCCAAACUCCUACGGGAGGCAGCAGUGGGGAAUAUUGCACAAUGGAGGGAACUCUGAUGCAGCGACGCCGCGUGAGCGAUGAAGGAAUUCGUUUCGUAAAGCUCUGUUCUAUGGGAAGAAAAGGACUGUACCAUAGGAGAAAGCCCCGGCUAAAUACGUG